rnacentral:lncRNA from 1 species
AAAAGGAUAAAAAGAAAGGUGCACAGCACAAAGAUUAUGUACAACUUGAGCAUGGAUAUUGAAUCCAGAAUCACACAAAAAUUUAUGUUCCUGAAAACUGGUUGUCAUCCCCUGUAUUACUACAUAUGCACCAUUUUCGUAAAAUUGUUCCACCCUUUAUCUUCUCCAUAGAUGUAUCAGCAGCUUUUUCAAAUUUCCCUUACCCCAGCAAAGUUCCACGUGAUCCUCCUAUCACCAGUCUUUGCAAGGUUCUUCCCUAUGUCAGGGAAAUAUCUACCACCAGUCCCUUUAGCAACCUUGUUAGAAUGUUUACAUCUCUUUAACUUCCAUUAAUCAAUAGUUUGUCCAAGAUAUUCAAUGACAACCAAGCCCAGUAUCAAUAAGGACAAUUUUUAAUUAUCAUCAUUGUGGAUAUCAGACUAUGAAAAGACUAGGCUACAACAUAAUUUUGAUGAAUUUUAAUAACAAAUGCCUAUGGUUGUCACCUUCAAUUUCUG